CCAUGUCCUGCAGACGUCUGGCGGCAGCGUCUACUCCAUUGCUGUGACAAAUCACCACAUUGUCUGUGGCACCUACGAGAACCUCAUCCACGUAAGGCCAGGGCGUCUGGGUGUAGGGCCAGACUGUGGCCCCAUCUCCCCUGCCUUGCUCAGUGUCUUUGACCUGCCUGUGCCCACCCCUCCCAGGUGUGGGACAUUGAGUCCAAGGAGCAGGUGCGGACCCUCACAGGCCAUGUGGGCACUGUGUAUGCCCUGGCAGUCAUCUCGACACCAGACCAGACCAAAGUCUUCAGUGCAUCCUACGACCGGUCCCUCAGGGUGCGUGCGGGCCCAGGGGUGGCAGGAGGCUCAGAGGGCGGGCAGCUGAGCUCUAGUGGGCCCUCACGUCCCAUGUGCCCCAGGUCUGGAGUAUGGACAACAUGAUCUGCACGCAGACCCUGCUGCGUCACCAGGGCAGCGUCACCGCGCUGGCCGUGUCCCGGGGCCGACUCUUCUCAGGGGCUGUGGAUAGCACUGUGAAGGUCAGUGCCCAUGGCUCGGGCCAUUUAAAGGGGCUGCAUGGGAUGGAGCGGGGUGGGAAUGAGGAGCUGGCAGCCCCAGCAUGAGGUGGUGGAGGGGAGGUAUGUGUGACAAGUGUGGCUGGGGCAGGGCGGCCGGCCGCAGGACACCUUGGUGAAGCAGCCCUUUCUCUGCAGGUUUGGACUUGCUAACAGGAUCCAGGCCAGGCCGUGGCUUCCCCUGGACCAGCCCUGGACCAGCCCUGGACCUGUCUGAACCAGGCUGGUCACAUGGGGUGGUCUCGGGGUUUCUGCCUGCCCUGUGGGCACAGGUGGACAGGCUUUGGCAGCCGGGCAGUGCCCUCCCUGCCCCAUGCUCGGCGAGCCUCCCUCGGCACUGUCCUCGCCACCCAGCCCCUCUCUCUGGGUGCCAGACUGUAUGUAGAUUUGGUUACUUCUUGGUGGAAAUAAACACUCCACAGACUGUGGCUGUGAGUGGGGACAGCUCCUCGGGACAAGGGGCUGUGUGUGGCCUUGAGGUUGGUGUGCAUAGGCACUGGCUGCUGUGAGUGGGGGGGCAUGGGGCGGUUUCCUCUGGUGGACCCCAGGACUUCAGCCCACUCUGGGGCCUCCCUGCUAGGA
rnacentral:lncRNA from 1 species